rnacentral:rRNA from 1 species
UACGUAGGCAGCGAGCGUUGUUCGGAAUUACUGGGCGUAAAGCGUGUGUAGGCGGAUUGCUAAGUACCUUGUGAAAUCCCACGGCUCAACCGUGGAACUGCUUGGUAUACUGGUUAUCUUGAGCCACUUAGGGGCGAGCGGAACAAAUGGUGGAGCGGUGAAAUGCGCAGAUAUCAUUUGGAACACCAAUGGUGAAAACAGCUCGCUGGGAGUGUGCUGACGCUGAGACACGAAAGCCAGGGGAGCGAACGGG